GGACAGGUGACAUGCAGAGACACACAGUGACAUACGGGGGCACGUGCAGCUUGUGGUACACUUGGAUUGCCCACUCUUGAAUAAAGGAAAGAAAUUUUAUCUGCAAAGCAUCCUGCUGAGAGACUUGAAAUGCUGAAAAGACCAUCAGCUGAUUUCUCAAAAGAGACCUUACAGGCAAGAAGGG